UCUCUAAAGCUUGCUAGCUGUGUAUAUAUUUAUAUAAUUGAUCUAUCUAUCUAUCUAUCUAUCUAUCUAUAUAUAUAUACAUGAAGCGUCAUGAAACAGAUUUUCAUGAUAGUAUUUGGGAAGUACUUCACUCACACAAAUUGCAUUCAUCAGUUUAAGAAUGCUGAGUGUAUUGAAAAGAAUCAUCAGGGCAUCUACUUUACACGUUAUCUUGUUUUUACAGAGUUGUUACAGAUAAAUGGUUUUCACAACCCAAGUACUGAUUGUCGUUGUAUGAAUUUACUUUAAAAGGAGAUGCUGACUAAUGCGUUAAGUUUUCUGUGCAUCUAUUUUUUCUUCAGGCACAAUGAAUGAUAUUAAGGGCAGAUGCGCCACAUUGGGGGAAGAUGCAAAGCAGAAAUACAUUCAAGAGGCAGCAGCACUGAGGGCACAUGGGCAGGCACAGGACACUAAACCCUGAGAUGGAGGCAAUUUGUGCUGUGUCUGCUGCGUCCAUUUUUAUGAUAAGAAGAAGAAUGCAAGAAAGAAGUGGCAUUCAUGGUCUCAGUGCACAGUGUGCCAAUCAUGGUCACACACAGCAUGUGGCUUUAAAAAGAACAUGUGCGUUCACUGCCAGGGUCAAGACACCAUGCUAACACCCUGAAGAUGUAUCUUGUUACUUGUUUGAGUUGUUUUUACUGUGUUGACGGCCCCCAACCCAUCCAUACAAACACACACACACAAUACAUACAUAUGCUGCAAAUUUAUUGUAAUGACCACACUUCACACGAAAGAAGAAAAUUGUGAUCUUUUUGUUAUUUUCAUUCACCCCAUUUUUAUUUAUUAUUGUUGUUUGUUGGCACCAUCAAUGUGUUCUCCUUUAUACAGGACUUAUGUGGGGACCAAUAAAGUUAUAUUGUACUGAA